rnacentral:rRNA from 1 species
GUGGGGAAUAUUGCACAAUGGGCGCAAGCCUGAUGCAGCAACGCCGCGUGAGGGAUGACGGCCUUCGGGUUGUAAACCUCUUUUAGUAGGGAAGAAGCGUAAGUGACGGUACCUGCAGAAAAAGCACCGGCUAACUACGUGCCAGCAGCCGCGGUAAUACGUAGGGUGCAAGCGUUGUCCGGAAUUAUUGGGCGUAAAGAGCUCGUAGGCGGCUUGUCGCGUCUGCCGUGAAAACCCAGGGCUCAACUCUGGGCGUGCGGUGGGUACGGGCAGGGUAGAGUGCGGUAGGGGAGAUUGGAAUUCCUGGUGUAGCGGUGGAAUGCGCAGAUAUCAGGAGGAACACCGAUGGCGAAGGCAGAUCUCUGGGCCGUAACUGACGCUGAGGAGCGAAAGCGUGGGGAGCGAACAGGAUUAGAAACCCGGGUAGUCC